rnacentral:rRNA from 1 species
CCUACGGGAGGCAGCAGUGGGGAAUUUUGGACAAUGGGCGAAAGCCUGAUCCAGCAAUGCCGCGUGAGUGAAGAAGGCCUUCGGGUUGUAAAGCUCUUUUGUCAGGGAAGAAACGGUGAAAGCUAAUAUCUUUUGCUAAUGACGGUACCUGAAGAAUAAGCACCGGCUAACUACGUGCCAGCAGCCGCGGUAAUACGUAGGGUGCAAGCGUUAAUCGGAAUUACUGGGCGUAAAGCGUGCGCAGGCGGUUUUGUAAGUCUGAUGUGAAAUCCCCGGGCUCAACCUGGGAAUUGCAUUGGAGACUGCAAGGCUAGAAUCUGGCAGAGGGGGGUAGAAUUCCACGUGUAGCAGUGAAAUGCGUAGAUAUGUGGAGGAACACCGAUGGCGAAGGCAGCCCCCUGGGUCAAGAUUGACGCUCAUGCACGAAAGCGUGGGGAGCAAACAGGAUUAGAUACCCUGGUAGUCCACGCCCUAAACGAUGUCUACUAGUUGUCGGGUCUUAAUUGACUUGGUAACGCAGCUAACGCGUGAAGUAGACCGCCUGGGGAGUACGGUCGCAAGNUUAAAACUCAAAUGAAUUGACGG